CGAGCGCUUCACUUCGGUGAGGAGCGGCGGACGGGUUAGUAACGCGUGGGAACAUACCCUUUUCUAGGGAAUAGCCACUGGAAACGGUGAGUAAUACCUUAUACGCCCUUCGGGGGAAAGAUUUAUCGGUGAAGGAUUGGCCCGCGUUAGAUUAGUUAGUUGGUGGGGUAAUGGCCUACCAAGACUACGAUCUAUAGCUGGUUUGAGAGGAUGAUCAGCAACACUGGGACUGAGACACGGCCCAG
rnacentral:rRNA from 1 species